CUUCCUGUGAAAAUUUUUCAGUACUUUUAGAAUCAUGAAAUCUGAACUUGGAAGCUGAAAAAAACCUUAGAGGUCUUCUAACCCAGUCCUUUCAUUUCUUAGCCAGGGAAGGCCUAAAGAGUCCAGUGCCUGAACCAUGCUGACUCAGCUUAAUAGUGUACUUGUCACUGUGCCAAGCCACCCCAAGGGACCUCCCACAUCAUCCAGCCCUGGCCAGGGCUCUACUAGGAUCAGUAUGGAGUCCAUAUCUUCUGAAAUCUGUAACGCAAA